rnacentral:rRNA from 1 species
GACGAACGCUGGCGGCGUGCUUAACACAUGCAAGUCGAACGGAAAGGCCCUGCUUUUGUGGGGUGCUCGAGUGGCGAACGGGUGAGUAACACGUGAGUAACCUGCCCUUGACUUUGGGAUAACUUCAGGAAACUGGGGCUAAUACCGGAUAGGAGCUCCAGCUGCAUGGUGGGGGUUGGAAGGUUUCGGCGGUUGGGGAUGGACUCGCGGCUUAUCAGCUUGUUGGUGGGGUAGUGGCUUACCAAGGCUUUGACGGGUAGCCGGCCUGAGAGGGUGACCGGCCACAUUGGGACUGAGAUACGGCCCAGACUCCUACGGGAGGCAGCAGUGGGGAAUAUUGCACAAUGGGCGGAAGCCUGAUGUAGCAACGCCGCGUGCGGGAUGACGGCCUUCGGGUUGUAAACCGCUUUCGCCUGUGACGAAGCGUGAGUGACGGUAAUGGGUAAAGAAGCACCGGCUAACUACGUG